GACGAACGUUGGCGGCGUGCUUAACACAUGCAAGUCGAACGAAGAGCGAUGGAAGCUUGCUUCUAUCAAUCUUAGUGGCGAACGGGUGAGUAACGCGUAAUCAACCUGCCCUUCAGAGGGGGACAACAGUUGGAAACGACUGCUAAUACCGCAUACGAUCUGACCUUGGCAUCGAGGAUAGAUGAAAGGUGGCCUCUACAUGUAAGCUAUCACUGAAGGAGGGGAUUGCGUCUGAUUAGCUAGUUGGAGGGGUAACGGCCCACCAAGGCGAUGAUCAGUAGCCGGUCUGAGAGGAUGAACGGCCACAUUGGGACUGAGACACGGCCCAGACUCCUACGGGAGGCAGCAGUGGGGAAUCUUCCGCAAUGGACGAAAGUCUGACGGAGCAACGCCGCGUGAGUGAUGACGGCCUUCGGGUUGUAAAGCUCUGUUAAUCGGGACGAAAGGCCUUCUUGCGAAUAGUGAGAAGGAUUGACGGUACCGGAAUAGAAAGCCACGGCUA
rnacentral:rRNA from 1 species